AGAUUGAACGCUGGCGGCAGGCCUAACACAUGCAAGUCGAGCGGUAGAGAGGUGCUUGCAUCUCUUGAGAGCGGCGGACGGGUGAGUAAUGCCUAGGAAUCUGCCUAGUGGUGGGGGAUAACGUUCGGAAACGGACGCUAAUACCGCAUACGUCCUACGGGAGAAAGCAGGGGACCUUCGGGCCUUGCGCUAUCAGAUGAGCCUAGGUCGGAUUAGCUAGUUGGUGAGGUAAUGGCUCACCAAGGCGACGAUCCGUAACUGGUCUGAGAGGAUGAUCAGUCACACUGGAACUGAGACACGGUCCAGACUCCUACGGGAGGCAGCAGUGGGAAUAUUGGACAAUGGGCGAAAGCCUGAUCCAGCCAUGCCGCGUGUGUGAAGAAGGUCUUCGGAUUGUAAAGCACUUUAAGUGGAGAAGGCAGUUACCUAAUACGUAUCUGUUUGACGUUACGACAGAAUAAGCACCGGCUAACU
rnacentral:rRNA from 1 species